rnacentral:lncRNA from 1 species
GGGCGUUUGUCAAGAAGCUUACAGAACUAAAAGAAACAUCAGUAGAACCUUCACAAAGGCAAAGGAAUUAUUUCAAAGGAGACUACAAUGUGUUCACAAGGGAAAUAUGCCAUUCUUUAUUCAAGACCCAGCUCAAAUGUGACCUAGUUUGGUGACCUUUCUCAAUGUGCCUGACCAUGUUUGUUCCCAUAUCUACAACAAACAAUACUCUAGUAACACUUUCAUUAAGGCAUUUGUCAUGUUGUAGCUUAUCCACCUCCAGGUCCAACCCCUUUCCCCUUUCCACGCCCUCUUAUUUCCCACAUUUUAUGCAUCCUCCAGCAUAGAGACUUCUCUUAAUAGUCUCAGUAACUAGGCAGUACACAGCAGAGAGCUGGCGUCCCCAAAACGCUGUUCAAUAUGGCAGACCUUAUUAGACUCACCCACAUACGGCUCUCCUCUCCUCCUCAGCACAACUUCAAAUCCAUGGACCACCUGCAACCAGGGCCCCUGUGCAGUUCUUUCCAGUGGGAUGAGAGCACAAGUGAUGAAUGUGGCUUCCCAAUUGACACCGAGAAGGUGGCGCCUUGGGGAGCAGUUUUCAUCCUCCAAGCCCCAGGGCAUGGGCUUAUGAAGAGAUGGCUGCAGUUCUGAGCAGAGGAGCAACUUUGUGGUCUCCACGUGGCAACAGCUCCUGGAAGGGCCCAGGCACUCAGGACCUGGGCACUUUGAAAUCCUCCUGAGUGCUAAGGAACGCAGCCACUGGCCUCUUGCACAGCCCAGGUCCUCUCGCUGCCGUCUACCCAGCAUCAACAAGGGUGCGGAAUUUGUGAGAUAAUCGGGUUAUCAUUUGGCUGCAUAAAAAUUUGUUUUUUUAAUAAAAGAAUCUUUAUUUUACUACCUACCCA